CUAUGUAGUAUCCAGGAUAGGAGGGGGAGCAUAGGCAGGGACAGUAACAUUAUUAUGUGUCUUUAACUGUGUCAGGCAAGGCAGCUAAGGAUCACAAACUCUCUGGUGGACCAUCAGAAGGCUGGUGUGGACUUCUGUAGUCAGUGCGAGCCUUGCCCCUUCCUGGUUUCUAAGUUCAGCUCUACUCCUCAGGAGGAAGCAGAGUCAUCCUCCCCCUCUCCCCAAGUAGGCUCAUUGAGAGGGAGGCCCUGAGCAGCUAAGCAAGCACUCCACCUUCAGAACUGGAACUCUGCAUUGGUGAGAGUCUCUCACAGACUCAGGGGCAAUGGAGGGCACUGUGAGGAACGAGAAGAAGGACCACUGCGGGGUGUCGGUUUCUGGUGAGAUUGUGACCAACAUAAGGUGGACUCCUACAAUGCCUUGUUCUCAAGAAAGCAUGUUGGCCCAGCUGAAUAUGCAACAUCAGAGCUUCCUACCCGAUGCAGAAAAAAGGUACAACAUCUGUAGCAAAUGAUUUAUGUCUUCUGGUUCAGGGCUUCUACAAUUAAGAAGGUGGGAUUGAGAGGCCUAGCAAGCAAGUAUUCAUGAAAUACAGGAAUCAAGAGACAUUUCAACUGACAGAGAAGUACUCCCUGGGUAUCCAUGACUAAGUCUGAUCUAAUCACACAGGUAAUUGGUGGUGAUAGUUGUGGGCAUCCAAAAUUGACUAAAUGCUACAGCUGCAUAUUUUGAAAUGACAGAGGAAGCAGAUUAAAGUCUUUCCGUAUCGUGAUUGCAGUGCAAAGGUCCUCUUCAUUAAGUUCACUAUAGUUGGAACUACUGGAAAGAAAACAAUGUACCACAUGUGAAAGGUGCUUUUAGAUGGUUGAUACCAUGCUGAAAAGAGGAGCCACACAAUGAGAUGUGUAAAGAAAAUGCUCUAGGCCCUUUUGUGAAACCAGAGUUUGUCACUACCUCUUAUUCAUACCAGUAUGCUUGAAUUAUUGUCGGUGAUUUCCAAUGAUGGGGGGAAAUGGGGAAAUGGGCGAAAUCUUGGACACUUUCUAUG